AGAAUCAACGCUGGCGGCGUGCCUAACACAUGCAAGUCGAACGAGAAAGGGGAGCAAUCCCUGAGUAAAGUGGCGACCGGGUGAGUAACACGUGACUAACCUACCUUCGAGUGGGGGAUAACCUCGGGAAACCGAGGCUAAUACCGCAUAACAUCGUGAGAUCAAAGCAGUAAUGCGCUGGAAGAGGGGGUCGCGGCUGAUUAGCUAGUUGGCGGGGUAAUGGCCCACCAAGGCGAAGAUCGGUAGCCGGCCUGAGAGGGCGCACGGCCACACCUGGAACUGAAACACGGUCCAGACUCCUACGGGAGGCAGCAGUGGGGAAUUUUGCGCAAUGGGGGAAACCCUGACGCAGCAACGCCGCGUGGAGGAUGAAGUCCCUUGGGACGUAAACUCCUUUCGACCAAGACGAUAAUGACGGUACUGGUGGAAGAAGCACCGGCUAACUCUGCGCCAGCAGCCGC
rnacentral:rRNA from 1 species